rnacentral:rRNA from 1 species
GACGAACGCUGGCGGCGUGCUUAACACAUGCAAGUCGAACGGAAAGGCGCUGCUCUUGUUGCGUGCACGAGUGGCGAGCAGGUGAGUAACACGCGAGUAACCCGUCCCUGACUUUGGGGUAACUUCAGGAAACUCGGGCUCAUACCGGAUAGGAUCUCUUGCUGCAUGGGGUGGAUUGGAAAAAUUCGGCUUUGCUGUAUGUACUCGCGGCGUAUCGGCUAGUUUGUCGGGUAGUUGCUUACCAAGGCUAUGACGGGUAGCAGACCUGAGCGGGUGACCGGCCACACUGGAAGUGUGACACGGUCCAGACGCCUACGGGAGGCAGCAGUAGGGAAUCGUCCGCAAUGGGCGGAAGCCUGACGGAGCAACGCCGAGUGAUUGAUGAAGGUCUUCGGAUCGUAAAACUCGGUUAUUGGGGAAUAACAAAUUUGUAAGUAACUAGGCACGUCUUGACGGUACCUAAUCAGAAAGCCACGGCUAACUACGUG